UAGGGAAUCUUGGACAAUGGGGGAAACCCUGAUCCAGCCAUGCCGCGUGAGUGAAGAAGGCCUUAGGGUCGUAAAACUCUUUCGCCAGGGAAGAUAAUGACGGUACCUGGUAAAGAAACCCCGGCUAACUCUGUGCCAGCAGCCGCGGUAAUACGGAGGGGGUUAGCGUUGUUCGGAAUUACUGGGCGUAAAGCGCACGUAGGCGGGCUGAAAAGUUGGGGGUGAAAUCCCGGGGCUCAACCCCGGAACUGCCUUCAAAACUGACAGCCUAGAGUUCGAGAGAGGUGAGUGGAAUUCCGAGUGUAGAGGUGAAAUUCGUAGAUAUUCGGAGGAACACCAGUGGCGAAGGCGGCUCACUGGCUCGAUACUGACGCUGAGGUGCGAAAAGUGUGGGGAGCAAAACAGGAUUAGAUACCCUGGUAGUCCACACCGUAAAACGAUGAAUGCCAGAUGUCGGGUAGUAUACUAUUCGGUGUCGCACCUAAACGGAUUAAGCAUUCCGCCUGGGGAGUACGGUCGCAAGAUUAAAAACUCAAAAUGAAAUUGAC
rnacentral:rRNA from 1 species